GGGGAUGAUCGGCCUAGACAAUUGGACGUUUCGCGUCUGCUGCAAAGUAGAGCUGUAGUAACUCUUAAAAAGGCUACAAAACAUAACUGCUAAAACAGUUGCAAAAGCCAAGGGAAUCGUUUCGCCAUACAUGGCAGGCUUCCCCGCUUUCGCUUACGCGCGAGCCUAAGCGACGUCUGUCCGGCUGACGUUUGAUAGGCUGGUACGGGUGUUAUAUCUUCGAACUAGGACUUGUGCCGUUCCGACAUAAGUCCGAAACCAAGGAACUCGGCUCGUCUUGUAUUUUGCUUGUUCUAAGCAAGACGGCUAAAAAAAUUAAAACAAACUAUACUUUGUAGACGCAUGCGCAUUCACCUUUUGCACGCGCGUUCGAUUCGCGCCAUCUCCACAA
rfam:Parcubacteria bacterium GW2011_GWA2_47_16 TX89_C0012, whole genome shotgun sequence.